rnacentral:rRNA from 1 species
CCUACGGGUGGCUGCAGUAAGGAAUAUUGGUCAAUGGAGGAAACUCUGAACCAGCCAUCCCGCGUGAAGGAUGAAGGGGCUCUGCCUUGUAAACUUCUUUUGUCUGGGGCGUAAAAGCUCGAUUUAUCGAGAACUGACGGUACCAGAAGAAUAAGCACCGGCUAACUCCGUGCCAGCAGCCGCGGUAAUACGGAGGGUGCAGGCGUUAUCCGGAAUAACGGGGUUUUAGGGGGCUUAGGAAGUCUGUGUUGAAAGGCUGUGGCUUAACCAUGGAAGUGCCAUUGAUACUGCAGAGCUUGAAUGAGGUUGAGGUUGGCGGAAUGUGACAUGUAGCGGUGAAAUUCUUAGAUAUGUCAUGGAACACCGAUUGCGAAGGCAGCUGACUGGACCUAUAUUGACGCUGAGGCACGAAAGCGUGGGGAGCGAACAGGAUUAGAUACCCCAGUAGUC